GACGAACGCUGGCGGCGUGCUUAACACAUGCAAGUCGUACGGUAAGGCCCUUUCGGGGGUACACGAGUGGCGAACGGGUGAGUAACACGUGAGUAACCUGCCCACAACUUUGGGAUAACGCUAGGAAACUGGUGCUAAUACUGGAUAUGUGCUCCUGCUGCAUGGUGGGGGUUGGAAAGCUCCGGCGGUUGUGGAUGGACUCGCGGCCUAUCAGCUUGUUGGUGGGGUAGUGGCCUACCAAGGCGGCGACGGGUAGCCGGCCUGAGAGGGUGACCGGCCACAGUGGGACUGAGAUACGGCCCAGACUCCUACGGGAGGCAGCAGUGGGGAAUAUUGCACAAUGGGCGCAAGCCUGAUGCAGCAACGCCGCGUGCGGGAUGACGGCCUUCGGGUUGUAAACCGCGUUCAGCAGGGACGAAGCUUUUUGUGACGGUACCUGCAGAAGAAGCACCGGCUAACUACGUG
rnacentral:rRNA from 1 species